CAGAGUUGCAAGACUCCCUACAAACCAUCUGCUGAAACCUUACCCGUACGGUUUGCCUCGGCGCUGGCGGUCCCAUUCGGACCCCUCGGCCUCCCGCUCGCGGGAGGCCUGCCCGCCGGAGUGCCGAUAGCCAAACUCUUGAAUAUUCUAGUGGCUCUCUGAGUAUCUUUAUUAAAUAAGUCA
rnacentral:misc_RNA from 1 species